GGCGAACGCUGGCGGCGUGCUUAACACAUGCAAGUCGAACGGAAAGGCCCUGCUUUUGUGGGGUGCUCGAGUGGCGAACGGGUGGGUAACACGUGAGUAACCUGCCCUUGACUUUGGGAUAACUUCAGGAAACUGGGGCUAAUACCGGAUAGGAGCUCCUGCUGCAUGGUGGGGGUUGGAAAGUUUCGGCGGUUGGGGAUGGACUCGCGGCUUAUCAGCUUGUUGGUGGGGUAGUGGCUUACCAAGGCUUUGACGGGUAGCCGGCCUGAGAGGGUGACCGGCCACAUUGGGACUGAGAUACGGCCCAGACUCCUACGGGAGGCAGCAGUGGGGAAUAUUGCACAAUGGGCGGAAGCCUGAUGCAGCAACGCCGCGUGCGGGAUGACGGCCUUCGGGUUGUAAACCGCUUUCGCCUGUGACGAAGCGUGAGUGACGGUAAUGGGUAAAGAAGCACCGGCUAACUACGUGCCAGCAGCCGCGGUGAUACGUAGGGUGCGAGCGUUGUCCGGAUUUAUUGGGCGUAAAGGGCUCGUAGGUGGUUGAUCGCGUCGGAAGUGUAAUCUUGGGGCUUAACCCUGAGCGUGCUUUCGAUACGGGUUGACUUGAGGAAGGUAGGGGAGAAUGGAAUUCCUGGUGGAGCGGUGGAAUGCGCAGAUAUCAGGAGGAACACCAGUGGCGAAGGCGGUUCUCUGGGCCUUUCCUGAUGCUGAGGAGCGAAAGCGUGGGGAGCGAACAGGCUUAGAUACCCUGGUAGUCCACGCUGUAAACGGUGGGUACUAGGUGUGGGGUCCAUUCCACGGGUUCCGUGCCGUAGCUAACGCUUUAAGUACCCCGCCUGGGGAGUACGGCCGCAAGGCUAAAACUCAAAGGAAUUGACGGGGCCCCGCACAAGCGGCGGAGCAUGCGGAUUAAUUCGAUGCAACGCGUAGAACCUUACCUGGGUUUGACAUGGAUCGGGAGUGCUCAGAGAUGGGUGUGCCUCUUUUGGGGUCGGUUCACAGGUGGUGCAUGGCUGUCGUCAGCUCGUGUCGUGAGAUGUUGGGUUAAGUCCCGCAACGAGCGCAACCCUUGUUCACUGUUGCCAGCACGUUAUGGUGGGGACUCAGUGGAGACCGCCGGGGUCAACUCGGAGGAAGGUGGGGAUGACGUCAAGUCAUCAUGCCCCUUAUGUCCAGGGCUUCACGCAUGCUACAAUGGCUGGUACAGAGAGUGGCGAGCCUGUGAGGGUGAGCGAAUCUCGGAAAGCCGGUCUCAGUUCGGAUUGGGGUCUGCAACUCGACCUCAUGAAGUCGGAGUCGCUAGUAAUCGCAGAUCAGCAACGCUGCGGUGAAUACGUUCCCGGGGCU
rnacentral:rRNA from 1 species